UAUACAUGCAGUCGAGCGGACGACGGGAGCUUGCUCCCUUAGGUCAGCGGCGGACGGGUGAGUAACACGUGGGUAACCUGCCUGUAAGACUGGGAUAACUCCGGGAAACCGGGGCUAAUACCGGAUGCUUGAUUGAACCGCAUGGUUCAAUCAUAAAAGGUGGCUUUUAGCUACCACUURCAGAUGGACCCGCGGCGCAUUAGCUAGUUGGUGAGGUAACGGCUCACCAAGGCGACGAUGCGUAGCCGACCUGAGAGGGUGAUCGGCCACACUGGGACUGAGACACGGCCCAGACUCCUACGGGAGGCAGCAGUAGGGAAUCUUCCGCAAUGGACGAAAGUCUGACGGAGCAACGCCGCGUGAGUGAUGAAGGUUUUCGGAUCGUAAAACUCUGUUGUUAGGGAAGAACAAGUACCGUUCGAAUAGGGCGGCACCUUGACGGUACCUAACCAGAAAGCCACGGCUAACUACGUGCCAGCAGCCGCGGUAAUACGUAGGUGGCAAGCGUUGUCCGGAAUUAUUGGGCGUAAAGCGCGCGCAGGCGGUUUCUUAAGUCUGAUGUGAAAGCCCCCGGCUCAACCGGGGAGGGUCAUUGGAAACUGGGGAACUUGAGUGCAGAAGAGGAGAGUGGAAUUCCACGUGUAGCGGUGAAAUGCGUAGAGAUGUGGAGGAACACCAGUGGCGAAGGCGACUCUCUGGUCUGUAACUGACGCUGAGGCGCGAAAGCGUGGGGAGCGAACAGGAUUAGAUACCCUGGUAGUCCACGCCGUAAACGAUGAGUGCUAAGUGUUAGAGGGUUUCCGCCCUUUAGUGCUGCAGCAAACGCAUUAAGCACUCCGCCUGGGGAGUACGGUCGCAAGACUGAAACUCAAAAGGAAUUGACGGGGGGCCCGCACAAGCU
rnacentral:rRNA from 1 species